GCCGUCGUGGGCCUGGAGGCCGCCCGCCAAACCUAUUACGGAGGUACAGAAAUAUUGAAAGCAGGAGCCGGAGGUUCGAUUCCUCCCGGCGGCA